AAGGAGAUGUGAGCCUGGGAGAUCCAUUUGGUGGCUGUUGAAGCUUUGAGAGAAAGAGAGAGAGGGGAGAGCACAAAAAAAGAAAGAAAGAGAGAUAGAAGGAGAAGAGGAAAGGGGUUUCAAGAAUCUCUAGGUGCCUAAGGAUUGAUUCGCUUUGUGCACGUGGCUACGAACCACAGUGUCGGGGGUUCGAAUCCCUCCUCGCCAACAACUGGCCAAAAAGGGAAGGACCUUUCCCUUCUUGAACACUACCAAGGUAAACACUAGGUAGACUUGUUUGGCACACAUGAUGAGCGGGGAGCCAUUGGACGAGAAAACGAUCUAGAACGUCAUAUUGCCUUAAAGUCUUUCAUUAUGUUAAUUUAUCAGUGGGAUGUACUUAGUUAUUUUUAAGACUGCAUCGAAUUCUCUUUUGUUUUGAACAUUGGAUCCAUACUCUGCAUCUAUUUUAAAUAAAGACUCACUGUAUUUUCAGUCAGAUAAUGUAAUCUAUGAAGUUAUUAUUAAAA